CCGGACGUGGUGUAGUAGUCAACAUGCUCGCAUUGGAAGCGAGGGACCGCGGGUGCGAAUCCUGCCGUCCGGACCA
rnacentral:tRNA from 1 species